UUUAAAUAGCUGCAGUAUAUUAACUGUACAAAGGUAGCGUAGUAAUUAGUCUUUUAAUUGAGGUCUUGUAUGAAUGGUUUAACAAGAAGAAAACUUUAUUAAGUUAAUUUUAUUAAUUUUAUUUUUUAGUUAAAAAGCUAAAAUUUUUAAAUGGGACGAUAAGACCCUAUAGAUCUUUAAAUUUUUACUAUUUAAAUUAGUUUAAGGCUAUUUAAAUUUUAUUUGUAAAAAAUUUUUUGUUGGGGUGACAGAUAAAAUUUUCAAACUUUAAUAGUUAUUUACAUAGAUUUAUGGACAUUUGAACCUUAAUUUUGGGUUAUUAAAAUUAGAUACCUUAGGGAUAACAGCGUAAUAAAUUUGUAUAGUUCUUAUAGAUAAAUUUGUUUACGACCUCGAUGUUGAAUUAAUCUGAAGUUUUGGGGCAGAAAUUAAAAUUUUAGGUCUGUUCGACCUUUAAAAGAUUACA
rnacentral:rRNA from 1 species